rnacentral:misc_RNA from 1 species
GGAUGAAGAACGCAGCGAAAUGCGAUAAGUAAUGUGAAUUGCAGAAUUCAGUGAAUCAUCGAAUCUUUGAACGCACCUUGCGCUCCUUGGUAUUCCGAGGAGCAUGCCUGUUUGAGUGUCAUGAAAUUCUCAACCUUUCAAGCUUCUUGAAGCUUGUUAGGCUUGGAUUGUGGGAGUUGCUGGUUUGCCAAAGUCAGCUCUUCUUAAACACAUUAGUGAGAUCAUAGCUGGAUUAGCUUUGGUGUGAUAAUUAUCUACAUCAAUUAUGAUACAGUCUGUCUUGCUUCCAAUUGUCUUUUCUGACACAAAACCUUGACAAUUUUGACCUCAAAUCAGGUAGGACUACCCGCUGAACUUAAGCAUAUCAAUAAGCGGAGGA